rnacentral:rRNA from 1 species
CCUACGGGAGGCAGCAGUGAGGAAUAUUGGUCAAUGGACGAAAGUCUGAACCAGCCAAGUAGCGUGAAGGAUGAAUGCCCUAUGGUUUGUAAACCUCUUUUAUAAAGGAAUAAAACGCGGCACGUGUGCCUUUUUGCAUGUACUUCAUGAAUAAGGAUCGGCUAACUCCGUGCCAGCAGCCGCGGUAAUUCGGAGGAUCCGAGCGUUAUCCGGAUUUAUUGGGGUUAAAGGGAGCGUAGAUGGGUCGUUAAGUCAGUUGUGAAAGUUUGCGGCGCAACCGUAAAAUUGCAAUUGAGACUGGCAGUCUUGAGUACAGUUGAGGUAGGCGGAAUUCGUGGUGUAGCGGUGAAAUGCUUAGAUAUCACGAAGAACCCCGAUUGCGAAGGCAGCUUACUAGACUGUGACUGACACUGAUGCACGAAAGUGUGGGGAUCAAACAGGAUUAGAUACCCGAGUAGUC